CCACCAAAUUUAACCCUAACCAGUAACCACCAAACUAAAUAAGAACACGAUCUCCAACAAUGCACACAAAGCAACACAGAUCAAACAACGAAACCACACCAAAAAACCCUACAUCAACGGAGCACUUUCUGUAAAGGAAACCACUGAACUCAAUUUUCUUUUCCUCAUCUCAAAUUUCCAAGAAACUAAACACAGGGAAGCU
rnacentral:misc_RNA from 1 species